GACCUUGUUCACCACUGGUUUGAAGAUAACUAUCUUGCUGAAGCUUUCAAAGAGAUCAAGGAUAGAGAAUUUGAGACGGACUGCAGAAAAUUUCUUAACCUGCUGAAUGAAAGGCUUGGGAAUGAAAGAAGAGUGUAUUCGUUUCCAUGCAUAUCUGCUUUUGCUGACACAAAGGAGGU